AUUGAACGCUGGCGGCCGGCCUAACACCUGCAAGUCGAUCGGAGCGUCUGUCGGGCGCGUAAUGCCUAGGUAUCUGCCUCGUAGUGGGGGAUAACGUCCGGAACCGGGCGCUCAUUCCGCAUACGAUCCGAUUAGCCUAGGUCGGAUUAGCUAGUUGUGGGGGUAAAGGCCUACCAAGGAAACGAUCCGUAACUAGUCUGAGAGGAUGAACAGUCACACUGGAACUAAGACACGGUCCAGACUCCUCCGGGAGACAGCGGUGGGGAAUAUUGGACAAUGGGAGAAGGCCUGAUCCAGCCAUGCCGAGUGUGUGAAGAAGGUCUUCGGAUUGUAAAGCACUUUAAGUUGGGAGGCGUUGCCAACAGAAUAAGCACCGGCUAACUUCGUGCCAGCAGCCGCGGUAAUAC
rnacentral:rRNA from 1 species